GUCAGCUGGUCACGCCCACUCUCACCUGUUCCAGUUUGCUCUCUCACCAGGUGUUUGUGACGAUGUUCAUUUUAGCUCUUCUUUAUUUUCUGGGUUUUUCACUCCAUUCCUUGGUGGAUCAUUGCACUGACUCAUUUGAUCUCUGUCAUCUUCAAGUUUAUGUAGCAGAGCCUGAGUCAGCAGAAUCCUGCAGCAGCAGAGGAAGAGAGGAUGUUGUGUUGGAAAGCAGCAGGAAGCGACACUCACCUUGCAGCUUCUGCAUCACAUUAGCGAUGUCCACAGAGCCUCGACCAAAGUGUCUGGGAGACGCCAUGUCGUCUCCCUGCAGCUGUGUCACAACACUGAUGCCACAGGACGUCUCACAGCUGUCUGAGGUGGGACGCACCCUCUGCCCCUCCCUCCCUCCGUCUCCUUGUUCCACUGCAGGACCAGGUCCUAUUGAAUCUCAGGUUUCACGCAGGUACAAGCAGGUUUACUGUCCAAUGAGAGCACUUCUUCCACUCAAAGACUGAGAAAAAGACAAGAGUGUGCAGGAAGUGCCUGCGCGUGCUACUGUUGCUCGGUUGCCAUGGAAACGGCGCGCGACACUGGCGUGCGGGUCCGUGACCACAGGAGGCUGCUGGCACGUGGAGGAGGAGCUUCCGGUUUGGAGUUUGCUGCUACCCAGAGUGCUGAAGAACUCUGCUGAACAAGCUGAAACUAAGCUUCUAAAGCUAAAAGAAGCAGAGUUAACUUAGUUAGCUG